CUUAUAGGAUGAGUUUCUAUUCAGUUCUGCUUCCGAACGAGAGCACACAGCCUCUUGUGGACAACCAAUACCAAUUUAUUUUUCUGAAAA
rnacentral:snoRNA from 1 species